rnacentral:rRNA from 1 species
UAUGAAGUAUUUGAGAGAUUUCAGAAAGAGAUUGUUGCAGCAAGAGACCACUGUUGCGUUCAAGGCAUUUCACAAGAUGGAGCAGUAAAAAUUGUGACCUUGAAAGGUCGAUCCCACAAGAUUAGGGAAGUUCAGUGCGACACGACAACGGUGAUAGCUACUUGUUCAUGCAAGUUAUUUGAGUCAAUUGGAAUCCCAUGCCGCCAUAUUAUCCAGGUGUUGAGAGUUGAAAAUCAAAAUGUACUUCCAUCCUACUACAUUAUGAAAAGAUGGGAGAAGCGAUGCAAACGGGAGAAUGUUUAUGAUGAGCAUGGAAAUUUACUAGAAGAGAAGGCCACCGACUCCUUGAAUGAUGUUACGAAGAAGAAGAUUUCGAUUGUACGCAAUAAGUUGGAAGAUCUAAUUCAAAAGGCGAAACACUUGGAUGAAGGCAUGGACUUUUUAUCAUCAAGUGUAUUGAAAAUUGAAGCACCUUUAGAUGAAAUGGUUCCUGCAUCAGGUCUGAAGCACACUAGAAAAGAAGAGUACGAGGCCAACUGA